UGUUCAGAAAUUUAUUUUGUGUAAAUUACAGUUUCUAUUCACGUUUCGAACAAACGAUGCUCUUUCAAUAUAGUCUAUUGGUGUGAAUGACAUUGACAUUCGCAUUGCGCGUUUUUUAAAAUAUGCAAAAUUAAAUGUAUAUUUUUCAAUAUUUCUGAGAGAUUAUCUUAAUAUUUCUUCGAGUUUUAAAGAUUAAGAAGAUUUUUAUUUGCUAAUAAGUGUUUGUUAAUCAAGUUGGAAUUUCGUUUUUAACAAUGCUACCAACCAGACGUACAAGCUUAGGCCGCAGAACUCGAAAUACGGCAAGUCAAAGAAAUAUAAAAGCAAAUCAAACUGAUGAGCAUCGCGAAGCGCGAAAUGAACUUAAACUGAAUCGAUAUCAAGAUGUUAUGUUGUUGAUUUUAUGUUGUGUUUAAUCCCCACAAAGCUGCAUUCAGUUAUAAUGUGGCAAUUGAUUACAGUUCAGAGCAAAUUGUUGCUAUUGGACUAAUGAACAUUGUGUGUCCACAUUGGGAUUGAAAUUAAAAAAUUAAGCCUCUGGAUUGUGUUGCGCCAGCGGCCAAGUCAAAUUGACGCCAUUGGUACCGCCACCAGAGCCACUACAUUCAUUGGUUCAUUUUUUGACUCAUAUCCAGCAGUACAAUAAUUGCUUUCAAAUGACAUCAUUUGGGGCAACAAAAGUUAUACGAGACAAUUUUUUGCCUACUUUUAGCAAAUUCAGGGAUUCAAAUAUAUCAUCAAACAGGUUCCUUAUUGCCAGUGCCUGUUGAAGACUAUACAUUUUUGCAAAUAUAUUUUAUGGACAAUUCAGCAAGAGAAGUCGAUCAGCGUUGCGCACACAACAACUCAGUAAAGAGAUCCAUUGUGAUAAACAAGUUCAAGCAUUUUUCC